CAGUCGAUGGAUGGAGGUUCUGUUUCCCAGACUCUCUGGCCCUGGGGUUGUAUGCUUGCACUCCCCCGAUUCAUGUCUAAAGUCCAUAAAUGAGUGAGUACAUAUCAUGUUUCUCUUUUUGUGACUGGGUUACCUCACUCAGGAUGGUUUAUCCUAGUGCCGUCCAUUUAGGCAAAUAGAGGUCAGCUGAUUAAUGGAGUUUUGACUUAUGUCCAGCUCACAAUAGGUCCAGUAGGUCUCCAAUCCUGAGGUUAUAACCCCAAUUCCAGAAUGUGUAAUUGUGAUACAUAUACUUAGAAGUUGUCAAGAUUCUCAUAUUGGUUCCCUAACCUAUGGAGUGAUGGCUAUCAUGGUUUAAAAGGCUAAAUAGAAACCUUUAGAGUUGCCUCUGCCGAUGAAAAUAGUGAAUCAAAACCAGUCUUUCAUCCAUGAAGGAUCUGCAGAAAUUAGUGCCAGCAUCAAGGACUUGAAAGAUGCAGGGGUGGUGGUGCCCAAACACAUCUCCCUUUACCUCUCCUAUCUUGACAGCACAGAAGACAGAUGGAUCAUGGAGAAUGACAGUUGACUGUCAAAAACUCAAUCAGUGACUUACUCUUCAUGAGGACCCUGUGAGGACUUCUCUGUUCAGCUGAGUUAAUUGAGAUCAAGAUGUAGAAUUCUCAGUUCCUUCUCCAACACCAUGUCUGCCUGUGCACCAUCAAGCUUCUCGCCGUGGUGAUAGUGGAUGGAACCUCUGAACUGUAAACCAGCCUCCAUUAAAUGUUUCCCUUUAUAAGAGUUGCCAUGGUCAUGGUGUCUCUUCACAGCAGUAGAAACUCUGAGACAAUAAGGAAGUUUAACAACUCAAAAGUUUCAAAACAUGUGGGGGUCCAUGAAAGCAUCAUAACCAGCUGGGGAACCAUGGCAAGAAGGAUAACUCACACCUUUAAUCCCAGCACAUGGGAGGCAGAGGUAGGCAGAUCUCUGUGAGAUCUAGGAUAGCCUGAUCUACAGAGCGAGUACCAAGACAGCGAAAAGACACCCUAUCUUUGAAGAAGAAGGAGAUGGAGGAGGCGGAGAAGGUAGAGGAGGAAGAGGACGAGGAGGACGAGGAGGGAGAGGAGGAAAACUCAGCUCAGUUCAGCACAACUUAAUCAGUUUUGGUUCAAACUUCUAGAGAAUUGACACCAGACAGUUUAUGGUAAGCAUAUUUAAACACAGUAUAACCUUGGGGGAAAGCUUCCUGUUGUAACACAAUCCCUGGUGCACAAGGAGGCAAAAUUACAUCAACACUCAACUCAAAGUACAUGUGACCAUAAAGAUGAGAGCUUAAGGGCCACAAAUCUGGUGUUGUCUCUGGCUGGGGUCCCAGACAGACUAGAGGUUCACAGACUGUAAAGUACAAGUGACACCUUCCCUAAGGAUGGGAUCUAUUGACUGAGAAACAAAGCCAAGGAUAAAGGUCUGGAGAAGGGAUCAACGUUCUGGGGGAUGUAGGUGAGAUCUGGUUCUACAGAUAGCAAAGAAAUACAUGGAACUGACAGUGUCACAAAGUUCCCCGGCCCUCUCUGAGCUUCUAUGAGCAGUCAAGACUUCUGAGAGCCAGUGUCAGACAAGACAAGCUGCCUGAACAAUGUUCACUACAGCUGAGCUGCCUGGAAGAGACAUUCUCUGACUCAUUGAGUGACCUGCAAGAAAACAAUAAGCCAUAGGAUUCCAUUUCUUCAUGAGCUGUUAUCCAUACUAGCAUGUAUUUUGAUAAUACAGCUGUCUUUGUGUCAUCAUUUCUAUCCCUGUAAAAUACCCCUCCCCCAUACUUCUGUAAGAAACCCCAAUUCAUUCAUUGGUUCACAAAAUUGGACUUGGGUGGUAUCUAAAUCUGUUGACCAUUCGCCAUCUGGAGUGAGUAGAAAUUUGUUCACGUCUCCCCAGAAAUGGUGUCAUCCAACAGUCUUGAGUGCAUGUGAGUACAGGUGCCCAGGGUGGACAGAUGAGGUCACCAGAUCUCCUAGAACUAGAGUUACAUGAGGUUCUGAUCAGUAUUUGGGAACCUUGGUAGUGGAGACCAAGCUCAAGUCCUCUCUUAGAGCAGCCAAUCAUCUCUCUAGCCCCAAACGCUGUGCUUUUA